rnacentral:rRNA from 1 species
AGCGCAGGCGGGAAGACAAGUUGGAAGUGAAAUCUAUGGGCUCAACCCAUAAACUGCUUUCAAAACUGUUUUUCUUGAGUAGUGCAGAGGUAGGCGGAAUUCCCGGUGUAGCGGUGGAAUGCGUAGAUAUCGGGAGGAACACCAGUGGCGAAGGCGGCCUACUGGGCACCAACUGACGCUGAGGCUCGAAAGCAUGGGUAGCAAACA